GGGUGUGGUGGGGGGUGCUCUGGGAUUCUCCUUCCAGAGAGGACACUCUCCUGCUGGUUCUAAGCCUGGGUCUUCAAGACUUGUCAGUGGCCCUUAAGAGUGGGCUGUGGCCCCGAGUCCAGUCCUGCCAGUUUACAUGUGGGGACCUGGGUGACUGGGAUGUGACAGGGCCUGCUACGUCUGUCAGCCCCAGUCCUGAGUCCUACCUCCAUGCUGUCAGAAGGGCCUGGGACUCUGUGGGAUGGGGAUGUCCACGGAAAUCUGGGCUGCCUUCCUGAGUAUGCCCAGGGCGAUGGAAGCCCCUCAGAGCAGGGGAGACUGAGUGUGAACACCGGGCUCUGCCCAGAACAGGGCUGACAUGCAUACCGUCAGCUGGCAGCCAUCGAGAAGUUCAUGGCCAGGCCAAAGUGGGUGAGAGCCUCUAAGGCUCCUCAUAUCCAAGGAUGCUGAGCAGCUGGCCCUGAAAAGCCCUGAAAGUGGUGGGGCCUGUCCCUUCUCCCCCAUCUCCGCCAGGGCCCUGACCUGGCAAGCAGUCACCCCGCUACAGAACUCUCUGGGCACCUGUGUCAGCUCCUGGCUGCUGCCCACACUUGGGGCCCAGACUGGGGAGGGUGAGAGGGCGGGAGAAGACCUUUGUCUCACCGCUCAGGGGUCCCUCUGGGAAGGGAAGGCUAGUUCUGAACCAGACUUCGAGGCCAAGGGAAAAACUCCAGGAAUGAGGGGCAGACAGGCGACAGGGGCUGAGAGCUGGCCUGAGAGCUGGUUGCUGUCGUCUGCUGUACUGGCCCAUGCAAAAAUCCCCACAGGGGGGAUGUUUGGGGAGGCUCUAUCUCCUUUUUUCUUAUUUGAGGUCUCUGAUUGAAUCCAAUACAGGCAGUUGAUCAGCACAGAUUUCUUCUCACCUAUUUGGGGUGGCCGUGGGGUCUGAAAGGAGCUGUGCUUUCCCUCGGCCAUGAAAGUCAUUUUCUCCUGCAUCUAAUCGAGGGUCAUCUGCCAAAGUGAACCCUAUGGGGAAAAAGCCUCUGGGUGUGCCUGCUCCCCGAUGGUUCUGGGCAGUGAACAUCGCACCCAGCCAUGGGACCAGUACCCAGCCGUGGGACCAGCACCAGCAUGAAGUUAACGCUGGUGCCGGGCUGCCAACUAAACUACAGACUUUAUUCAGAUGUAUUUAACCAGUGUUCUCCCCUUAAUGUCCUUUUUCUGUUCCUGGAUCCCACCUUGCAUUUGAUCCUCAUGUGUUCUUACUUUUGAAAAUACUGCUUUUAAAAGGAAACUUCGUAUCAUUCCCUGAAAUAGAACAUUACUGUAACUUGCCAUACACAGUAACUAUCAAAAUAAACACACAACUAUUAGAGU